rnacentral:tmRNA from 1 species
GGGGACGUUUUGGAUUUGACAGGAUGUUCGGUGAAAACAGGUUGCGAGUCCGAGCGCUGUUCUCGGUAAUCAACGAGCAACACAAAUUAAAUGCUAACAACGUAAUUAAAGCAGACUUCUCUAGAGCUUACGCUUUAGCAGCUUAGUCGCUUAUUAUAGCUACUCAUAAAGUCCAGCUUGCCGAUUUUAUGAGUCCAUUAUGCAAGCGGCAGUACGUUGAUGAAGGUAGACGUAUCAAGAUAACCUUCAAGGGUUAGUGUUUCCAUCAAAAACACUUUGGAUUAUUUAAAAGGUCAUGAUAUUUCCUGAAUAAUCCGAGAGAAUAAAUAUCUACACUCGUAGAAGCUUGUUUUAAUCCAUUUUGGACAGGGGUUCGACUCCCCUCGUCUCCA